rnacentral:rRNA from 1 species
AGAAUUUUGGGCAAUGGACGAAAGUCUGACCCAGCAAUGCCGCGUGCGGGAUGAAGGUCUUCGGAUUGUAAACCGCUGUUUGGAGGGACGAAAAUUGACGGUACUUCCAGAGGAAGCCACGGCUAACUACGUGCCAGCAGCCGCGGUAAUACGUAGGUGGCGAGCGUUGUUCGGAUUUAUUGGGCGUAAAGGGUCCGCAGGGGGUUGAUUAAGUUUGACGUGAAAUCCCGGAGCUUAACUCCGGAACUGCGUUGAAGACUGGUUGACUAGAGUGCUGGAGAGGUAAUUGGAAUUCCAGGUGUAGCGGUGGAAUGCGUAGAUAUCUGGAAGAAUAUCGAUAGCGAAGGCAGAUUACUGGACAGCAACUGACCCUCAGGGACGAAAGCAUGGGGAGCAAACA